CUUGUCUCAAAGAUUAAGCCAUGCAUGUCUAAGUAUAAGCAAUCUAUACAGUGAAACUGCGAAUGGCUCAUUAAAUCAGUUAUAGUUUAUUUGAUAGUACCUUACUACUUGGAUAACCGUGGUAAUUCUAGAGCUAAUACAUGCUAAAAACCCCGACUUCGGAAGGGGUGUAUUUAUUAGAUAAAAAACCAAUGCCCUUCGGGGCUCCCUGGUGAUUCAUAAUAACUUAACGAAUCGCAUGGCCUUGUGCCGGCGAUGGUUCAUUCAAAUUUCUGCCCUAUCAACUUUCGAUGGUAGGAUAGUGGCCUACCAUGGUUUCAACGGGUAACGGGGAAUUAGGGUUCGAUUCCGGAGAGGGAGCCUGAGAAACGGCUGCCACAUCCAAGGAAGGCAGCAGGCGCGCAAAUUACCCAAUCCCGACACGGGGAGGUAGUGACAAUAAAUACCGAUACAGGGCUCAUUAGGGUCUUGUAAUUGGAAUGAGUACAAUUUAAACCCCUUAACGAGGAACAAUUGGAGGGCAAGUCUGGUGCCAGCAGCCGCGGUAAUUCCAGCUCCAAUAGCGUAUAUUAAAGUUGUUGCAGUUAAAAAGCUCGUAGUUGAACCUUGGGCCUGGCUGGCCGGUCCGCCUCACCGCGUGCACUGGUCCGGCCGGGCCUUUCCUCCUGGGGAACCGCAUGCCCUUCACUGGGUGUGUCGGGGAACCAGGACUUUUACUUUGAAAAAAUUAGAGUGUUCAAAGCAGGCCUAUGCUCGAAUACAUUAGCAUGGAAUAAUAGAAUAGGACGUGUGGUUCUAUUUUGUUGGUUUCUAGGACCGCCGUAAUGAUUAAUAGGGAUAGUCGGGGGCAUCAGUAUUCAACUGUCAGAGGUGAAAUUCUUGGAUUUGUUGAAGACUAACUACUGCGAAAGCAUUUGCCAAGGAUGUUUUCAUUAAUCAGGAACGAAAGUUAGGGGAUCGAAGACGAUCAGAUACCGUCGUAGUCUUAACCAUAAACUAUGCCGACUAGGGAUCGGGCGAUGUUAUCUUUUUGACUCGCUCGGCACCUUACGAGAAAUCAAAGUUUUUGGGUUCUGGGGGGAGUAUGGUCGCAAGGCUGAAACUUAAAGGA
rnacentral:rRNA from 1 species